GACGAACGCUGGCGGCGUGCUUAACACAUGCAAGUCGAACGGAAAGGCCCUGCUUUUGUGGGGUGCUCGAGUGGCGAACGGGUGAGUAACACGUGAGUAACCUGCCCUUGACUUUGGGAUAACUUCAGGAAACUGGGGCUAAUACCGGAUAGGAGCUCCUGCUGCAUGGUGGGGGUUGGAAAGUUUCGGCGGUUGGGGAUGGACUCGCGGCUUAUCAGCUUGUUGGUGGGGUAGUGGCUUACCAAGGCUUUGACGGGUAGCCGGCCUGAGAGGGUGACCGGCCACAUUGGGACUGAGAUACGGCCCAGACUCCUACGGGAGGCAGCAGUGGGGAAUAUUGCACAAUGGGCGGAAGCCUGAUGCAGCAACGCCGCGUGCGGGAUGACGGCCUUCGGGUUGUAAACCGCUUUCGCCUGUGACGAAGCGUGAGGGACGGUAAUGGGUAAAGAAGCACCGGCUAACUACGUG
rnacentral:rRNA from 1 species